rnacentral:rRNA from 1 species
CUACGGGGCGCUCCAGUGGGGAAUAUUGCACAAUGGGGGAAACCCUGAUGCAGCAACGCCGCGUGAAGGAUGAAGGUUUUCGGAUCGUAAACUUCUUUGAUGAGGGAAGAAAAAUGACGGUACCUCAAAAACAAGCCACGGCUAACUACGUGCCAGCAGCCGCGGUAAUACGUAGGUGGCGAGCGUUGUCCGGAAUUACUGGGUGUAAAGGGCGUGUAGGCGGGAAUGUAAGUCAGAUGUGAAAUUCCGAGGCUCAACCUCGGAGCUGCAUCUGAAACUAUAUUUCUUGAGUGCUGGAGAGGAAAGCGGAAUUCCUAGUGUAGCGGUGAAAUGCGUAGAUAUUAGGAGGAACACCAGUGGCGAAGGCGGCUUUCUGGACAGUAACUGACGCUGAGGCGCGAAAGCGUGGGGAGCAAACAGGAUUAGAUACCCCGGUAGUC